rnacentral:lncRNA from 1 species
UUUUUUUUGUUUUUUUUUUUUAAGAUAAGAGCCUCAGUGUCUCUUACUAUCCUGUUGGGAAAAUAAUGUAUUCUUAAAAAACAAACAAAAAAAACCACAGUAAUUUCCAGUGUUGUGAGAGUUCAAUAAAGGGAGAGGGCAGCCGGACAGGGAGUAAUAAGGAAAAAUUCCCCAAAGAAAUGGCACAGAAGUCAAACCUUGAUGGGUGAAAAGAAUUGUGGAAGAGGAAGGGAAAGGCAUCCCCGUCAGGGGCUGAAGGAGCACAGCCCUCAAGCUGAGCAGAAAGCAAGUCAGCCCUGUGAAACAGAAGCCCUACGGGAAGGAGGGAAUGUAUCGAAGGCAAUUUGCAGUUGCAAUGCAGUUCUCCUGCUAACUGCCUGGAGUUAGGUCAAACGUCAUAGCCCUGCACAAGACUGCCCUCACUUCAGAUGCCAGCUGCAGGCUCUGGGGUACCCAGGCCACCUGCACGUCUGACCAACUAGCUACAAAUUCAGGGCUUCCCUUGACCCUCUCAGGUUUCAUAAUUGACUAGAAUGACUCAAAUAAUUCAAGAAAGUGCUGUUCUUACGACAACAGUCAUUAGAAAGGAUGCAACUCAGCAGCAGCCCAAUGAAGAGACACACAGAGAGGUUUGCAAGUGUCACAAAUCAGGAUGCAUUCCUCUCCUGGCAUGUCAAUGUGAAUCACCAACCAGGUAAGCUCACUUGAGCUUCAGGUGUCCAGAGUUUUUACUGGGGCCUCAUUGAAUGAAGGAUUGAUUGAAGCACUGGCCAUGUGAUUGAACUCAAUCUCCAGCCUCUCUCCCUCCCCAGAGGUCUCCCUCCCCAGGGGUCACUGAUAUCACAUGGCUCAAAACCCCGGCCCUCUAAUCACAUUGUUGGUCUUUAGAGCAUGCCAGUCCCCAUCCUGAAAUUGUCCAGCGAUGCUCCACGAGUCACCUCAUUGGCAUAAACCCAAGCAUGGUCUAAGGGUCCCACCACAAAUAACAAGGACUCCCAUGACUGAGGAAAUUACAAAGGUUUAGAGGCUUCCUUCCAGAAACCAGGGAAAUGACCAGUCAAAUCCUUUCUUAUACAACGAUAGUCGAUUGGAAGUUAGUAGUAGUUGGGGGCUCAAGAA